rnacentral:lncRNA from 1 species
UAGUGGCUCUUUAACUACAAAUUUGAAUGCGGUGUUUAUCUUUACGUACAUAGUUAGUAUAUUUUAUGCAAUUUACGUAACUAUAACUUUAUUAAAGCAAGCAAUUAGCUUAAAUUUUGCAUUCGAAGAGCCAUUAAAUCAUUUAAAUCAAAUAAAUUGAAAGGUUGAGUACCAAGAUCAAAAUUUUGAAAGAUUGAGUAGUCGAAUCAAAAUGGUUUAUAGUUCACUUAUGUUUUAU